UACAAUAACAUUCGUUUGUUCAUUCUUGACGUUACUAGCCAGUGGAGGAGAUUUUAAACAACUAGAAAGCACUCUAUCUCAAAUAGCUGUGCAACUGGUAUAAUUUUAUGGGUUUUGGCUUAACCAAUCAGCAGUAAAACUGUUCAAAACCACUGUCGUAAUGAACUCCUAAAUCUCUGAUGAAUCAUUAAAACACGAUCAUGGCUUUACUAUGGCACUCAACAAACUCUCACAACAUUUUAUGCCCAUACAACAAUGGUGGAACUUUGGUGUCAUUGCUUUAAAACUAUGUACCCUAAACAAUGCAUUUUCCGCAGGAAAAAUAUCCCCUAGUAUAAAAGACUAUGCCCAUAUUGUAGAACAAUGUAUCGACACAAAGGACUUGAGAUUGGGCAAGCUACUUCAUUCCCGGAUGCUCGCAACCGGUUUCAAUCCCGAAAUCUUAUUGUGGAACCGUCUUAUUAGCUUCUAUUUAAAAUGUCGGAGUUUUGAGGAUGCACGCCAAGUGUUUGACAAAAUGCCACAGCGAAAUACAUGCUCAUGGAAUGUUAUGAUCAGUGGCUGUACCAAGUCUGGCAGAAUUGUAGAUGCACAUGAACUGUUUGAUAAAAUGGGUGAAAGGGAUGCUAUCUCAUGGAACGCAAUGAUAUCAGGGUAUGCCCAAAAUGGAUAUAGCAGGCAAUCCCUGAAACUGUUUGGGGACAUGCAGCAUAGAGGCGUAAAGGCAAAUGAAUUUUCGUUUGCUAGUGCUUUGAGUAGCUGUGGAGAUUUGUCAGCUGCUCAAGAGGGGAAACAGGUACAUGCUUACAUUGUUAAAACUGGAUUUGAGUUCAAUUCCAUUCUGUUGAAUGCAAUGGUUGAUAUGUAUUCAAAAUGCAGAAACAUGGAGAGUGCGAGACAAUUGUUUGACAAUAUUCGUGAACGGGAUGUAAUCUCAUGGACAGCAAUGAUUGCAGGAUAUGCUCAGAGUGGGUAUGGUGAGGAGGCUUUGAAGUUAUUUUGCAGAAUGCGUAGUCAGGCAAUGAGACCGGAUGCUGUUGUCUUCUCAAUUGUUCUCAGUGCUUCUGCUAAUCUAGCAGCUUUGGGGCAUGGUAAGCAGGUUCAUGGUUAUAUUGUCAGGAGUGGAACUGAAUCAGAUGUCUUUGUUGCUAGUGCACUUGUUAACAUGUAUGCCAAAUGUGGCAGCACCAUGGAUGCAAGCAAAGUCUUCGGCGGUAUGAAUGAAAGGAAUGUGGUUUCAUGGAAUACUAUGAUUUCAGGAUAUGCACAAAAUGGACAUCCCAAAGAGGCCCUCCAACUCUAUGAACAAAUGAUACAAGCAGGGACAAAGCCCAACUAUGUAACAUUUAUUGGUGUUUUAUCUGCUUGUUCUCAUGCUGGCCUCGUGGGUGAAGGGUGCUUUUACUUUAAUUCAAUGAUUUGUGAUCACUGCAUUCCUCCAAGGACAGAUCAUUAUGCUUGUAUGGUUGACCUGUAUGGACGAGUUGGGCGCUUGAAAGAAGCAGAGGAAUUGAUCAACAAUAUGCCAUUUGAAACUGAUGCUGUUGUUUGGGGGGCAUUGCUUGGUGCAUGUAGAAUUCAUGGGAAUUCAGAGUUGGGAAGACAUGCAGCAGAACAACUUUUUAGAUUUGAACCAAAACGUGCUGGACCAUAUAAGCUCCUCUCAAAUAUCUAUGCUUCAGCUGGCAGGUGGGAUGAUGUUGCAAAAGUGAGAAAUGAGAUGAAAGAAAAAGGAGUGCAGAAGGAGCCAGGAUACAGCUGGAUUGAAGCAGGUAACAAGGUGCAUACCUUUGUCAGAGAAGACAGAACACACCCACAAACAGAGGAAAUAUAUACCAAGCUAGAGGAAUUGUCUGGGAAGAUGAAGGCAACUGGAUACCUGCCUGAUGUGGACUUCGUCUUGCAUGAUGUGGAGGUAGAACACAAGGAAAAAAGCCUAUUCUAUCACAGUGAAAAGCUGGCUAUUGCUUUCGGGCUUAUUAGCACACCUUCUGAAGUGCCCAUCAGAAUCAUGAAGAAUCUUCGGGUGUGUGGUGAUUGUCACACAGCCAUAAAGUUCAUUUCCAGGAUUGAAAAGAGAGAAAUUAUUGUGAGGGAUGUUAACCGCUUCCACCAUUUUGAGGAUGGCUUAUGUUCAUGUCAGGAUUUUUGGUAAUGCUAAAUAAAAUAGGCUAUUAUGGUGGUAAUACCAAACAUCUGUUAUAUGUCAUCUUAGUGGAAGGAGAGGUAAAAAGCUGGUUGUGGGCCUUAGCAGAGAGCUGCUAAUGCGUUAGCAAAUAUUUUUCAUCCACCUUUGUGUCACAAGGGGUCACACUGCACACAAGGAAGAUUGGGCACACCAAGAAGGUGUAAAAGGCGCUGAAGAUAGCUUCCCUACCACAUUUGUAAACAGUUUGAAUGGUGCAGAGCAGAACUGUGUGAGGCAAAGCAGAAACCAAGCCUAUGUGAAUAGAAACGGAUAUCUGGAAAUUGAAAAAGAUUUUUUUGUGCAAACAAAGUUUAGUUAUCUGCAACAAUAACUAUUGGGAAACAAAUUGAUAUCACACAAGACUUGGUGAUUGAAUGAUUAAAAAGUUGGUUUCAUUGGAGAAGUUGAAGGUUCAAAAAUAUAAGUACAUUAUAUAUUUUUUGGAGUUUGAUUUAAAAGGGCUUUUAAUGUUUCUAGAAAAGGGAAAAUGAUUGAAUUCUUUUGAACUUAAUUAAGGGUAGAUUGUGGAAAUUGGAAGUAUUUUGGACAAACAUAUGGCUAUAUU